AAGCUGUCUAUUUGGGUGACAUCAUCACUGGAGAGCAGGCUGCCCUGGCAGAAAAGACGAAGGAUAUACCAGUCCCAGUCUGACUUACCUCCAGAAGUGAUAGAAAAGUAGAGGGACAUUCAGCCCCAGCGUGAGCCACUCUUGCGCACACAGGAACAUAAUGCAGAAGAGGCUAUGGAUGGAGUAUUCUGGCAGCACCAGCUGAAGAGGGAGCAGAGACACGGCCCUGAGUUAGAGGAGGAAAACGCCACUCCUGCUUCUAUGGCAGCUGACUUCUGCCUGGACACUGCCUCUCACAGACGGUUGACACAAAGGCCCUCCCUGCAGCAACGUAGAGCCACUGCCCCAACACAGAUCCAUUUCUGAUACGCAUCAAGAGCCUACUAUGAGGUGUCAAACACUGUGGCAGGCACUGGAGGUGCCAGGAUGAGUUCAAUGAGCCUGGUGACAAUGUUCCAGGCACCCCCAGGCUGAUGGGAGAGACCGACAGCUGAACACUGGACCAUGCCGCAGCCAGCACUCACACACUGAGGAGAUGCAAUUUUAAAGACACUCAUCUAUGGAGUGCCCCAAAUGCACUAGGACUGCACAGGCUGUGUGGGGAACUCAAGGUUGAAAAAGAUAUAUCCUUGGCCCUCAGGAAGACUACAGCCAGUGUAAAGGGGACCAUAACGAUGUCUACAUCCCAGGGCUGUCGCGAGUGAGAUCAUCCAACCAAGCACUUUGUACAACGUCUGGCAUAUUAUACCACAUAUAAUACCU
rnacentral:lncRNA from 1 species